AUACUUACCUGGCCGGGGAGAUACCAUGAUCAGGAAGGUGGUUCAGCCAGGGUGGGGCUCAGCCAGUGCACUGCAUUGUGCUGAUCCCUGCGAAUUCCCCAAAUGUGGGAAUCUCCACUGCAUAAUUUCUGGUAGUGGGGGUUGCAUUCGUGCUCUCCCCUG
rnacentral:snRNA from 1 species